GGCCUUGUGGCGCAACGGUAGCGCGUCUGACUCCAGAUCAGAAGGCUGCG
rnacentral:tRNA from 1 species